ACUGCAUGAGAACAUCUGGGCAAGGUGGAAAACUGAGCUCCCUGGGGAGAGAAGUCACUUCUUGAUCAAGAAUAUGACAUACCUAAGGGACUCAAGAGGCCACAGAUGUACAUGAAGCUUCAGGUCCUGAGAGCUAAAAGCUCCUGUGUCAAGGCAACAUCAUCAUGGAAAUUUACUGCGAAGAGGAGACUCCAGGAGGUGGUGUUGUCUGGGGGCGAUGCUCCCACCUGUCAAGCUCUGAGUCCUACAGAGAGCAUCAGGCUUGCACUCUUCUUGCUCAUCACCUCCUCUGCUGUGGGCCCUUCAGGGCUGGCUUUGAUCCAUUCACAUGCAGUGCAACUGAUUUGUCCUGCUGGAGAGAAUCCAGAUCCAGGGGUCUAAAGAAAGAAAUAUCACCUGAAGGGAGGCCAGGCUUUUCUUGGAAGUGAGCAGCUGUGCCUGGAGAGAGAUGUCUGUCUGGAGAACUUCCAACCCAGCCCAGUUCAGUCCUGGCCACCUCCAGCCCUCUGGGGCUUCCUGUGAAAGGAAUGACUGUCCUCUGAGAUGCUCCACCCAGCAGCUGACUCAGA